rnacentral:rRNA from 1 species
UACGUAGGGUGCAAGCGUUAAUCGGAAUUACUGGGCGUAAAGCGUGCGCAGGCGGUUUUGUAAGUCUGUCGUGAAAGCCCCGGGCUCAACCUGGGAAUUGCGAUGGAGACUGCAAGGCUUGAAUCUGGCAGAGGGGGGUAGAAUUCCACGUGUAGCAGUGAAAUGCGUAGAGAUGUGGAGGAACACCGAUGGCGAAGGCAGCCCCCUGGGAUAACACUGACGCUCAUGCACGAAAGCGUGGGGAGCAAACAGG